rnacentral:rRNA from 1 species
GACGAACGCUGGCGGCGUGCUUAACACAUGCAAGUCGUACGGUAAGGCCCUUUCGGGGGUACACGAGUGGCGAACGGGUGAGUAACACGUGAGUAACCUGCCCACAACUUUGGGAUAACGCUAGGAAACUGGUGCUAAUACUGGAUAUGUGCUCCUGCUGCAUGGUGGGGGUUGGAAAGCUCCGGCGGUUGUGGAUGGACUCGCGGCCUAUCAGCUUGUUGGUGGGGUAGUGACCUACCAAGGCGGCGACGGGUAGCCGGCCUGAGAGGGUGACCGGCCACAUUGGGACUGAGAUACGGCCCAGACUCCUACGGGAGGCAGCAGUGGGGAAUAUUGCACAAUGGGCGCAAGCCUGAUGCAGCAACGCCGCGUGCGGGAUGACGGCCUUCGGGUUGUAAACCGCUUUCAGCAGGGACGAAGCUUUUUGUGACGGUUCCUGCAGAAGAAGCACCGGCUAACUACGUG